CGGACGAACGCUGGCGGCGUGCCUAACACAUGCAAGUCGAGCGGGGUUGAAGCGAGGGGUAACUCGGACUUCUACCUAGCGGCGGACGGGUGAGUAACGCGUGGGCAACCUGCCUCAAGGUUUGGGAUAACAGCUCGAAAGGGCUGCUAAUACCGGAUAUGCCUGUGGCCUCGCAUGGGGCUAUGAGCAAAGGGGAAACCCGCCUUGAGAUGGGCCCGCGUCCCAUCAGCUAGUUGGUGAGGUGAAGGCUCACCAAGGCGACGACGGGUAGCCGGCCUGAGAGGGUGACCGGCCACACUGGGACUGAGACACGGCCCAGACUCCUACGGGGGGCAGCAGUGGGGGAUCUUGCACAAUGGGCGAAAGCCUGAUGCAGCGACGCCGCGUGAGCGAAGAAGGCCUUCGGGUUGUAAAGCUCUGUCUGGAGGGACGAAGAAAAUGACGGUACCUCCGGAGGAAGCCACGGCUAACUACGUG
rnacentral:rRNA from 1 species